UACAACAGGAAGGAAACAGAUAUUUAUGUUGGAUCCUCACUUGCUUUCCCUGCACUUGUACACUGAUCUCCUCAACAGAGUUUGGCAUUGUUGCUUCAUCUGAGCUGUUCCUGCAGCCUGGCUUUGCUAAUGAAAGGCCCAGCUCUGCUCUCGCGACACAGCAUGCACUUUUCCUUGGUGUAACCUGAAUGCAGUGCUUCCAGAGCACUCUGUGAAACAGUUUGCAGGGCUGCGCUUGUUGUAUAUCUGCACUAGGGCAGAGGUUCUCAACCAGGGGUACGUGUACCCCUAGGGGUACGCAGAGGUCUUCCACAGGAUACUUCAACUCAUCUAGAUAUUUGCCUAGUUUUACAACGGGCUACAUAGAAAGCACUAGCGAACCUUCGCUGGUCAGUUAUGAGGUUCAACUGGAAGAGGUGGUGAUGCAGCCAUUGUUCCCAUUCAUUUCUGACAUUUGAGCCCGCCAGACGCAUUACAUCUGGAGCAACAAAGGCUGGAGGCAGAAAAAAUAACACUGUGGGUGAGACAGCUCUCUGUCUUGGAUGAUCGAUGCAGGAACAACAGAGCUUGACUGUUUGAUGGCCUCUGACUCACCCGUACUGAUGUGUCCUAUACGGGGCAGGCAUUCCUUGGGCUGGUGCAGGUCACUGAAAAACAUGUGGUAAGAGGCUGCAGUCCAUCACCUAGGUCAGAGAGGGGAACAAACACAGACUCUCUGUGCUGUGCUGCCAAUCAAGAGAGAGGUAAGGGAAUCAUUGUCUACUGAUGCCUUGUCUCAGGAGACCUCCAUACCCGCUAUUUAGUCUUAAUCACCUUUAAAAUGAGGCUGUAGAAGACCAUGGUGCUAAAUAAAUGGGACAUUUUCCACAAAUGAGGUUGGAUUCAUAUCAUAGCAUGCUGGAUUUCGUGAGUAACACAAAUUCUUCAGACAUAUUAAA